CGGCGGACGGGUGAGUAACACGUGGGCAACCUGCCUGUAAGACUGGGAUAACUUCGGGAAACCGGAGCUAAUACCGGAUAAUCCUUUUCCUCUCAUGAGGAAAAGCUGAAAGACGGUUUACGCUGUCACUUACAGAUGGGCCCGCGGCGCAUUAGCUAGUUGGUGAGGUAACGGCUCACCAAGGCGACGAUGCGUAGCCGACCUGAGAGGGUGAUCGGCCACACUGGGACUGAGACACGGCCCAGACUCCUACGGGAGGCAGCAGUAGGGAAUCUUCCGCAAUGGACGAAAGUCUGACGGAGCAACGCCGCGUGAGUGAUGAAGGUUUUCGGAUCGUAAAACUCUGUUGUUAGGGAAGAACAAGUACAAGAGUAACUGCUUGUACCUUGACGGUACCUAACCAGAAAGCCACGGCUAACUACGUGCCAGCAGCCGCGGUAAUACGUAGGUGGCAAGCGUUGUCCGGAAUUAUUGGGCGUAAAGCGCGCGCAGGCGGUCCUUUAAGUCUGAUGUGAAAGCCCACGGCUCAACCGUGGAGGGUCAUUGGAAACUGGGGGACUUGAGUGCAGAAGAGAAGAGUGGAAUUCCACGUGUAGCGGUGAAAUGCGUAGAGAUGUGGAGGAACACCAGUGGCGAAGGCGACUCUUUGGUCUGUAACUGACGCUGAGGCGCGAAAGCGUGGGGGAGCAAACAGGAUUAGAUACCCUGGUAGUCCACGCCGUAAACGAUGAGUGCUAAGUGU
rnacentral:rRNA from 1 species